GACGAACGCUGGCGGCGUGCUUAACACAUGCAAGUCGUACGGUAAGGCCCUUUCGGGGGUACACGAGUGGACAAAGGGUGAAUAACACGUGAGUAACCUGCCCAUAACUUUGGGAUAACGCUAGGAAACUGGUGCUAAUACUGGAUAGGUGCUCCUGCUGCAUGGUGGGGGUUGGAAAGUUCCGGCGGUUGUGGAUGGACUCGCGGCCUAUCAGCUUGUUGGUGGGGUAGUGGCCUACCAAGGCGGCGACGGGUAGCCGGCCUGAGAGGGUGACCGGCCAACUUGGGGCCGGGGUACGGCCCAGGCUCCUAACGGGGGGCACCGGGGGGAAUUUUGCACCAUGGGCGCAAGCCUGAUGCAGCAACGCCGCGUGCCGGAUGACCGGCUUCGGGUUGUAAAACGCUUUCCGCAGGGACGAAGCUUUGUGUGACGGUAAUGGGUAAAGAAGCACCGGCUAACUACGUG
rnacentral:rRNA from 1 species